rnacentral:rRNA from 1 species
AGCGAACGCUGGCGGCAGGCCUAACACAUGCAAGUCGAACGAACUCUUCGGAGUUAGUGGCGGACGGGUGAGUAACACGUGGGAACGUGCCUUUAGGUUCGGAAUAACUCAGGGAAACUUGUGCUAAUACCGAAUGUGCCCUUCGGGGGAAAGAUUUAUCGCCUUUAGAGCGGCCCGCGUCUGAUUAGCUAGUUGGUGAGGUAAGGGCUCACCAAGGCGACGAUCAGUAGCCGGUCUGAGAGGAUGAUAACCCACCUUGGGACUGAGACACGGCACAAACGCCUACGGGAGGCAGAAGUGGGGAAUCUUGAGCAAUGGGCGAAACGCGGACGAAGCCAUGCCGCGUGAAUGAUGAAGGUCUUAGGAUUGUAAAAUUCUUUCACCGGGGACGAUAAUGACGGUACCCGGAGAAGAAGCCCCGGCUAACUUCGUG